AUGCAACACCCUCUGGCUAAACAAUAUACCUACAUAGAAUUUCCUGAAUAUUUUACAUGGCACUCCAACUCAAAUGGCAAAUACUGGGAUUAUCGUCGUGGUUCUAGAAGAAUUGGCAGAAUUGCUUAUGUCAACCCUUCCCAAGGGGACCUUCACUAUCUACGUUUGUUGCUCAACAUUGUCAAAGGUCCAACCUCCUUCCCUCAAAUCAGAACUAUAAAUGGCCAUGAAUAUCCUACAUUUCGUGUUGCAUGUGAGGCUUUAGGUCUCCUUGGUGAUGAUGAAAAAUGGUCCAAUGCCUUAAAAGAUGCCUCUCAAUGGGCCAUGCCUUACCAGUUACGCCAACUGUUUGUCACAAUUUUGCUCUUUUGUGAGGUA
rnacentral:rRNA from 1 species